UACGAGAGGCCCAAACGUUAUUCGGAAUUACUGGGCUUAAAGAGUUCGUAGGCGGCAUGAAAAGUAGGGUGUGAAAGCCCUCGGCUCAACCGAGGAAUUGCGCUCUAAACUGUCGUGCUCGAGGAAUCUAGAGGUGAGCGGAACUGAUGGUGGAGCGGUGAAAUUCGUUGAUAUCAUCAGGAACACCGGAGGCGAAGGCGGCUCACUGGGGAUUUUCUGACGCUGAGGAACGAAAGCCAGGGGAGCGAACAGG
rnacentral:rRNA from 1 species